GUCGAGAAUCUUUCACAAUGGGGGCAACCCUGAUGGAGCGACGCCGCGUGGAGGAUAAGGUCUUCGGAUUGUAAACUCCUGUCAUGCGUGAACAAGGUUGCUUGGUUAAUACCUGGGCAAAUUGAUGGUAACGCAAGAGGAAGAGACGGCUAACUCUGUGCCAGCAGCCGCGGUAAUACAGAGGUCUCAAGCGUUGUUCGGAAUCACUGGGCGUAAAGGGUGCGUAGGUGGCGUGGUAAGUCAGAUGUGAAAGCCCGGGGCUCAAACUCGGAACUGCAUCCGAUACUGCCAUGCUAGAGUACUGGAGAGGUGACUAGAAUUCUCGGUGUAGCAGUGAAAUGCGUAGAUAUCGAGAGGAAUACCAAAGGCGUAGGCAGGUCACUGGACAGUUACUGACACUGAGGCACGAAGGCCAGGGGAGCGAACGGGAUUAGAAACCCUAGUAGUCC
rnacentral:rRNA from 1 species